rnacentral:ncRNA from 1 species
CAACGGGGUGCUGAAUUAUGGCUGAGAAAAUACCCGUCGAACCUGAUCCGGAUAACGCCGGCGAAGGGAUUUGA